rnacentral:rRNA from 1 species
UACGUAGGUGACGAGCGUUAUCCGGAAUACUGGGCGUAAAGCGCACGCAAGCGGUUCUACAAGUCUGGCGUGAAAUUCUCUGGCUUAACCAGGGGCGGUCGCUGGAGACUGUAGGACUUGAGGCGAUGAGAGGGGUGCAGAAUUCCCGGUGUAGUGGUGGAAUGCGUAGAUAUCGGGGGGAACACCGGUGGCGAAGGCGGCC